rnacentral:rRNA from 1 species
UACGUAGGGGGCAAGCGUUGUUCGGAAUUACUGGGCGUAAAGGGCGCGUAGGCGGCACAGCAAGUCGGGCGUGAAAGCCCGGGGCUCAACCCCGGAAUGGCCUUCGAAACUGCUGAGCUAGAGUACAGAAGGGGCAACCGGAAUUCCCAGUGUAGCGGUGAAAUGCGUAGAUAUUGGGAAGAACACCUGAGGCGAAGGCGGGUUGCUGGGCUGAUACUGACGCUGAGGCGCGAAAGCCAGGGGAGCAAACGGG